AGAUCCAUCUUUUGUUGGUGCCUGGUACCACAUCAGGCUAGUCCAGCUGCUGCUGUCGCUGCUUGCUGAGACUUCCCGGAAGAAGGCAAAACUUUGAUCGCCUGCCCUUGCACCGGGCAGUGUCGGAGGUAAUUAAGAGUACAAGUACUGAUUUGCAGAAAGAAUUGUAAACACCUUUGAUACAAAAUGCUGCCUUCCCAUUUUUUUUUUUUCUGAUUAGGAAAACUUUGCUGCUGAUAGGUAUAAAGUCCGGUUCAGGUAUAAUUGGUAAGGAACGGAGUGCACUCAUGGGAAGAAAUCUUGUUUUGUUUUUUGUUCGCUUUUCUUCUUAUCCCCUUUUCUCAGUUUUAUGGCUGGAGACAUGAUUUAUUGCAACCAUCCAUCUUGGGGGCUCAUCCAUCACACCCGGGUUGCUAGGAGAUUGUGGCAGCAGCUGUUUGCUCUGAAUCAGACAGAAAAGUUGUCAAUCAUCAAAGGCAGGUGAAUAGCAUUAGAAACACGCUAUUGUCAGACGGAAUAAUUAAUCAAAGAGAGAAAAGAUAAUUAAAAAGAUAUGACCCUUGCAAGUACUUGCUCUGGUUUGCCUGGAAAAAAAAAAGAGAAAGAAAGAAAGAAAGAAAAACGGCCUGGUCUUUUCUAGACACUUAAGCAGCUGAGGGCUGAUAAAAUAUGCACUCUGCAGUGCAUGGCUUUUAAUUAAUUGAAAAAGGUUCAACAUUCAAAGACGAUGCUGGAGAAAAGUCCAGUUAUGAGCAGAAGUAAUAUUUAUUGUUUGCAUGAAGGGCUUGACACAGAGUCUAACUUUCUGUUACAAAUCUCUGGUGUCCCCGCUUGGUAAGGAGGUGUGGGCUGGAGUCUGCAGGUAGCCUGUGUGCUUAUGUUUCCUGUGCUGCCGGCCCACCACGUGACCACAGUGGGACCCAGCCAGCUGGGGCAUAGUUAGUUGCCUUUCUGUCUUUCUGGUAACUCUGAGAGAACCCAAUUCUUUAAAGUAGGGUUGAUUUUAUAAAAGUCAAAGUGGGAAGAUUGAAGGGCACACUACAAACUGUCCCCAGUGCAAGGUUCCCGUCCCUUCACUUGUGUGCCCAGAACAUGCCAUAACAUUUUCAAAGGAACACUUUGGAGGCUCCCAUUCGGCAGGGGGCCUGCAGCAUCCUGUU
rnacentral:lncRNA from 1 species